rnacentral:rRNA from 1 species
GAUGAACGCUAGCGGGAGGCUUAACACAUGCAAGUCGAGGGGCAGCACGAGGUAGCAAUACUUUGGUGGCGACCGGCAGACGGGUGAGUAACGCGUAUGUAACCUACCCUGUACAGGGGGAUAACCCGGAGAAAUUCGGACUAAUAUCCCAUAGAAAUAUUGGAAGGCAUCUUUUGAUAUUUAAAGUUCCGGCGGUACGGGAUGGGCAUGCGUAACAUUAGCUGGUUGGUAAGGUAACGGCUUACCAAGGCUUUGAUGUUUAGGGGUCCUGAGGAGGGUGACUCCCCCGA